rnacentral:rRNA from 1 species
UGCCAGCAGCCGCGGUAAUACGGAGGGUGCAAGCGUUGUCCGGAUUUAUUGGGUUUAAAGGGUGCGUAGGCGGUUUGAUAAGUCAGUGGUGAAAUACUUCAGCUCAACUGGAGAGGUGCCAUUGAAACUGUCAGACUUGAGAGUAGAUGAGGCAGGCGGAAUUUAUGGUGUAGCGGUGAAAUGCAUAGAUACCAUAAAGAACACCGAUAGCGAAGGCAGCUUGCUAGACUACAUCUGACGCUGAGGCACGAAAGCGUGGGGAGCGAACAGGAUUAGAUA